UACGAGUGCCUCAAGCGUUAUCCGGAAUCAUUGGGCGUAAAGGUUGUGUAGGUGGUUAUAUUAGUCUUUUGUUAAAUUCUUCGGCUUAACCGGGGGCAUGCAAAGGAAACGGUAUGACUAGAGGAUGCGAGGGGUCUGCGGAACUCAUAGUGUAGCGGUAAAAUGCGUUGAUAUUAUGGGGAACACCAAAAGCGAAGGCAGCAGACUGGAGCACUCCUGACACUGAAACAAGAAAGCGUGGGUCGCGAAUGGG
rnacentral:rRNA from 1 species